rnacentral:rRNA from 1 species
UACAGAGGUCUCAAGCGUUGUUCGGAAUCACUGGGCUUAAAGGGCGCGUAGGCGGCCUUCUAAGUCGAACGUGAAAUCCCCGGGCUCAACCCGGGAACCGCGUCCGAUACUGGAAGGCUUGAAUCCGGGAGAGGGAUGCGGAAUUCCAGGUGUAGCGGUGAAAUGCGUAGAUAUCUGGAGGAACACCGGUGGCGAAGGCGGCAUCCUGGACCGGCAUUGACGCUGAGGCGCGAAAGCCAGGGGAGCAAACGGG